rnacentral:rRNA from 1 species
CCUACGGGGCGCAGCAGUGGGGAAUAUUGGACAAUGGGGGAAACCCUUAUCCAGCGACGCCGCGUGAGGGAAGAAGGUUUUCGGAUUGUAAACCUCUGUCAGUGGGGACGAUAAUGACGGUACCCACGGAGGAAGCAUCGGCUAACUCCGUGCCAGCAGCCGCGGUAAUACGGAGGAUGCGAGUGUUAUCCGGAUUUAUUGGGUUUAAAGGGUGCGCAGGCGGAGGUGCAAGUCAGUGGUCAAAUUGCGGGGCUCAACCCCGUACUGCCGUUGAAACUGCAUCCCUUGAGUGCGCGAGAAGUAUGCGGAAUGCGUGGUGUAGCGGUGAAAUGCAUAGAUAUCACGCAGAACUCCGAUUGCGAAGGCAGCAUACCGGCGCGCAACUGACGCUCAUGCACGAAAGCGUGGGUAUCGAACAGGAUUAGAUACCCUUGUAGUC